rnacentral:rRNA from 1 species
AUUGAACGCUGGCGGCAGGCCUAACACAUGCAAGUCGAACGGUAACAGAAAGCAGCUUGCUGCUUUGCUGACGAGUGGCGGACGGGUGAGUCAUGUCUGGGAAACUGCCUGAUGGAGGGGGAUAACUACUGGAAACGGUAGCUAAUACCGCAUAACGUCGCAAGACCAAAGAGGGGGACCUUCGGGCCUCUUGCCAUCGGAUGUGCCCAGAUGGGAUUAGCUAGUAGGUGGGGUAAAGGCUCACCUAGGCGACGAUCCCUAGCUGGUCUGAGAGGAUGACCAGCCACACGGGAACUGAGACACGGUCCAGACUCCUACGGGAGGCAGCAGUGGGGAAUAUUGCACAAUGGGCGCAAGCCUGAUGCAGCCAUGCCGCGUGUAUGAAGAAGGCCUUCGGGUUGUAAAGUACUUUCAGCGGGGAGGAAGGGAGUAAAGUUAAUACCUUUGCUCAUUGACGUUACCCGCAGAAGAAGCACCGGCUAACUCCGU